GAUGAACGCUGGCGGCGUGCCUAAUACAUGCAAGUCGAGCGAACGGACGAGAAGCUUGCUUCUCUGAUGUUAGCGGCGGACGGGUGAGUAACACGUGGAUAACCUACCUAUAAUACUUGGAUAACUUCGGGAAACCGGAGCUAAUACCGGAUAAUAUUUUGAACCGCAUGGUUCAAAAGUGAAAGACGGUCUUGCUGUCACUUAUAGAUGGAUCCGCGCUGCAUUAGCUAGUUGGUAAGGUAACGGCUUACCAAGGCAACGAUGCAUAGCCGACCUGAGAGGGUGAUCGGCCACACUGGAACUGAGACACGGUCCAGACUCCUACGGGAGGCAGCAGUAGGGAAUCUUCCGCAAAGGGCGAAAGCCUGACGGAGCAACGCCGCGUGAGUGAUGAAGGUCUUCGGGUCGUAAAACUCUGUUAUUAGGGAAGAACAUAUGUGUAAGUAACUGUGGACAUCUUGACGGUACCUAAUCAGAAAGCCACGGCUAACUACGUG
rnacentral:rRNA from 1 species